UACGGGAGGCAGCAGGGGGAAUAUUGCACAAUGGGCGCAAGCCUGAUGCAGCCAUGCCGCGUGUAUGAAGAAGGCCUUCGGGUUGUAAAGUACUUUCAGUCGUGAGGAAGGUGUUAAGGUUAAUAACCUUAGCAAUUGACGUUAGCGACAGAAGAAGCACCGGCUAACUCCGUGCCAGCAGCCGCGGUAAUACGGAGGGUGCGAGCGUUAAUCGGAAUUACUGGGCGUAAAGGGCACGCAGGCGGUUAAUUAAGUUGGAUGUGAAAUCCCCGGGCUUAACCUGGGAAUGGCAUUCAAGACUGGUUAGCUAGAGUCUUGUAGAGGGGGUAGAAUUCCAUGUGUAGCGGUGAAAUGCGUAGAGAUGUGGAGGAAUACCGGUGGCGAAGGCGGCCCCUGGACAAAGACUGACGCUCAUGUGCGAAAGCGUGGGGAGCAAACGAGGGAUUAGAUAC
rnacentral:rRNA from 1 species